AGCUAUGGCCUGGCAGAGGAGGAGCAAUCUCGGUAUCUCAGCCCUGAGCUCCGGGUAAGCUCAUUAAAAGCUGCGACUCAGCUGAGGUUUUCCGUAAUCCCCAGGUGAAUUGGAAGAUAAAUGGGUUAUAUAAGUUUGUGAAAGCCACAGAGUUAAGGAACUUUUCUGGGACGGUGACAGACUUCACUUAACACCUUGGAGACAUAGUAAAAUUUCUGCAGGGGCUGUGCCCCAUGGCUGUGGCCCUGCUCUAACCCAGCCCUCUCAAACGGGACAAAGGAAAAGGCUGCUGAAAAGGGACACGGGGAAGGCGCAGACCCAACCAGCAGCGUAUGCAGUACCAGAAGGACCAGAAGAAAUGAUGAAAUUAUGGCUCUUUAUGUGUCAAGAAACACUGUACAGGCAAGUCCUUGAG